AGAGCAUAGAGAGGACUUUUUCCUAGUACAAGAGGAUAGGGAAGGACACAACUCUGGUGUGUCAAUUAUCGUAUCCACAAGAUACAACUCUGGUGUGCCAGUUAUCAUUUCCACGAUAAACACUAGAUAGUCAAGUGUCGGAAUAACUGAUGAAAGCAUCUAAGUAGUAAACUCACCUCAAGAUGAGUGCUCU
rnacentral:ncRNA from 1 species